GGCAUCGGCCUCUUUCUGCUCAAGCUCUUCUAUGUGCUCAGGGGUGGUACAAGCUUUUAAAAGUCCCAGGCAGUGGUCAGACCACGCACACUCUCCUGGCAUCCCCAUCCUCUCUCAGGACUUAUGGUGCCAGAGCGGUUAUCGCAGGAGUUUUGAUGCUGCUGUGGACUGUCCAUCGAGCCCUGCUUUCUGAGCCUCCCAUGUCCACCCUGUUCCUGUCCAGGUUCCUGGCUGUCACAUUUCUGCACGAUGGUGAACAAGUUUGUUUUUCUGAUUCUCAUAACAAGAAAAGGUUAAGACUAAACUAUCUAAUCUUCAACCCCAUCCAAGAUCUGAGGAGGAGAAACGUUGCCUGAGUAAAACGAAAAUCAGAGCAAACAGCUUCCAAAUCUAAAGAAAUGACAGAAAUUGUUGGCUACCCUGACAGUCAGUCAGCAAAUAUUCCUGUGUCACUGUGGCAUCCACCUUCAACUCACUGGGCCAGGAGCUCUAACAACAAUCCUUUGAAGCAGGUCACUUGAAGGACUAUCCUAUUUUUUUUUCCAAAAACUGGGACAACAGACUUCCCCAUGAUCAACUUCUGCACAGCCUGGACAGCUUUCUGGCAGCAGUAGAGAGCAGCCUGGAGGAAGACACUCAUCUGACAAUGUGGCCAUCUCAAGACAGGCCCUGACAAUGGCUGAAGACUUGACUGAAGACUGGAAAUGAAGGCCCCUCUGACUACGAUGUACUCUAAGGACAGUUUAUUCAGGUGAUCCUGUCCACCUAAUACAGCACAUCAUGUGGAAUAACAGAAGCCACCUGCAGGAGCUGCGGUGAUGACUCACAGGUUAGAGAAUCUGCUGCUCUCUCAGAAGAACCACAUGGUCCCGAACAAUCAUCUACAACAGGGAAUGUCAUUCCUUCUUUUGGACUAUGAGUGAAAUGCACCCAGGACAGGGCACAGACAUACAGUAGAAAAAAAAAAAGACCCAUUGACAUAAAUGAUAAAACUAAGUCUAAUCUGCAACAAUAAAAACACAGCACACUUAUGGUCAAGGACAAGAGCGUGUAUCAAAACCUAUUUCCCAACACGACUCUGAAGGUCAGUAUCUCUGGGGUUAAUAUUGAUGCUGUAGUGCAAGAAAAGCUGAGGGGUUGGGGAUUUAGCUCAGUGG